CUUGAAUGUGAAAAAUAAGUCGCUAAUAAGCUAUUCACAUGGAAGUCAAUUGAGGAUUGUGGAAGAGCAAUCUUUGAAGUUAAAUGGGAUAGAAUAUAUCUGGCUUUUUACAUGAUUCUCAUUUUCAUUGGAUGACGCACUAAUUAAAUCAGUUCCCCGCUUCGUGUUAAAUGAGCUCACCUGCGGCGCUUCGCGAGUCGCGAUGUUUGCGUUGAUCCAUAUGCUGGUGAGUCUCGUUCAGUAAAUCAAUAAUAUUUUGGUCUCCCCAACCGUUAUCAGUUUAAUGUCUCCAAUAUACGGUAAUCUUAAUAAUGGUUAAGACCUUGAACCAUUAAGUGGUGGGAAUCUUCCGGUUAUCGGUUAUGAGUGACUGAUGAUAGAUAUGUUCUUCUGUUCUCCAGGUGAACCGCGAGGUCACGAACACUUUUCGAAGUAAAACGGACCGCAAGAUCUGGAGCAGUUGUGAACCGCGAGGUCACGAACACUUUUCGAAGUAAAACGGACCGCAAGAUCUGGAGCAGUUGUCAAGAAGAAUAACCGAUUCUGUGAGUAUCCCAAUUGAACCAUGAAGAAGAAACUGCGAACUGUAAGUCCAGAUUUUUCCUUUUUCGGGUAGAAUUUUGGCCUCCUGUUUGGUCUGAUUGGUUAGGGUUAAUGGGUGCAGAUUGAUAAAGUUAAAAGUAGUGCAGUAUAGGUUCUAAGUGAAUGGUGUAUGA